rnacentral:tRNA from 1 species
GCUAUUUUGGCAGAUAAUAUGCAUUAAAUUUAGGAUUUAAUUAUAUAGUAGAGUCUAUAAAUAGUAAAAUAAUUUUUUUCUUUAGAAGCUAAUUAUUUU